GUGGGGAAUUUUGGACAAUGGGCGCAAGCCUGAUCCAGCAAUGCCGCGUGCAGGAAGAAGGCCUUCGGGUUGUAAACUGCUUUUGUACGGAACGAAACGGUCCUGGUUAAUACCUGGGGCUAAUGACGGUACCGUAAGAAUAAGCACCGGCUAACUACGUGCCAGCAGCCGCGGUAAUACGUAGGGUGCAAGCGUUAAUCGGAAUUACUGGGCGUAAAGCGUGCGCAGGCGGUUUUGUAAGACAGGCGUGAAAUCCCCGGGCUCAACCUGGGAAUUGCGCUUGUGACUGCAAGGCUGGAGUGCGGCAGAGGGGGAUGGAAUUCCGCGGGUAGCAGUGAAAUGCGUAGAUAUGCGGAGGAACACCGAUGGCGAAGGCAAUCCCCUGGGCCUGCACUGACGCUCAUGCACGAAAGCGUGGGGAGCAAACAGGAUUAGAAACCCCAGUAGUCC
rnacentral:rRNA from 1 species